AAAAUUUCCUAGUGGAAUAAUGAAGAAACAUUUUAUAUUUCUAAAAUUGUUGUUAACGGCUGUUUUUAUUCGAAUAACUUCAUAAUACAAAAUUAACUUCCGAAAAUUGUUUUAUGAUGGACGAAGAAAUAGCCAUCCCAUCAAGAAUGACGGGCGAACCAGAUAUUUCUCCGUCGUUUGAUGAUGGAGAAAUCAUAAAUUUUACUUUUUGCAAAAAUUUUUUGUUUAAAAAAUUUGUUGUUGGUAUAUUUGUCUUCUACAUGAUAUGAAUAUUAUAUUGAUUUUACUACAUUAUAUAUAAAAAUACUAUAUAUAUAUAUAUAUAUAUGCUUCUAUAUUAUCUUACUAAUAAAAUUUGUUUGUCUUUUA